rnacentral:rRNA from 1 species
AGCUACAAGCCAAUAUUUGUAGUUUAACCUGCCCAAUGUGUAAUUGAAAAGAUAAAUGGCCGCGGUACCUUGACCGUGCUAAGGUAGCGUAAUCAGUUGGCUUUUAAAUGGAGUCAGGAAUGAAUGGAAUAACUGGGUUUAGCUGUCUCCUUCCUAAUAAGUUGAAUUUACUGUUCAAGUGAAAAAGCUUGAUUUAAGAAAAAAGACGAGAAGACCCUUAGAAUUUUUUUUAGUGGGAAAAUAUUUUCCUAAUGAUUUUGUUGGGGCGACAUGGAAAUAUAUAAAAACUUUCCUUCAAAUACUUGCCGAUUUUGUUAAGUAAGGAUAAAUUACCUGAGGGAUAACAGCAUAAUUCUACAAAUGAGUUUGUGACCUCGAUGUUGGACUAGGGAACUAGCAAGCUAGCCGUUUGUUGUGUGGGUUCUGUUCGAACUAUAAUCCCU